rnacentral:rRNA from 1 species
GAUGAACGCUGGCGGCGUGCCUAAUACAUGCAAGUCGAGCGAAAAGACGAGGAGCUUGCUCCUCUGACGUUAGCGGCGGACGGGUGAGUAACACGUGGAUAACCUACCUAUAAGACUGGGAUAACUUCGGGAAACCGGAGCUAAUACCGGAUAAUAUAUUGAACCGCAUGGUUCAAUAGUGAAAGACGGUUUUGCUGUCACUUAUAGAUGGAUCCGCGCCGCAUUAGCUAGUUGGUAAGGUAACGGCUCACCAAGGCAACGAUGCGUAGCCGACCUGAGAGGGUGAUCAGCCACACUGGAACUGAGACACGGUCCAGACUCCUACGGGAGGCAGCAGUAGGGAAUCUUCCGCAAUGGGCGAAAGCUUGACGGAGCAACGCCGCGUGAGUGAUGAAGGUCUUCGGAUCGUAAAACGCUGUUAUUAGGGAAGAACAAAUGUGUAAGUAACUAUGCACGUCUUGACGGUACCUAAUCAGAAAGCCACGGCUAACUACGUG